CCUACGGGAGGCAGCAGUAGGGAAUAUUGCGCAAUGGGGGAAACCCUGAAGCAGCAACGCCGCGUGGAGGAUGAAGGUUUUCGGAUUGUAAACUCCUUUUGAUAGAGAAGAAAAUGACGGUAUCUAACGAAUAAGCACCGGCUAACUCCGUGCCAGCAGCCGCGGUAAUACGGAGGGUGCAAGCGUUACUUGGAAUCACUGGGCGGAAAGAGCGCGUAGGCGGGAUAGCAAGUCAGAUGUGAAAUCCUAUAGCUUAACCAUAGAACUGCAUUUGAAACUGUUAUUCUAGAGUAUGGGAGAGGUAGGUGGAAUUCUUGGUGUAGCGGUGAAAUCCGUAGAGAUCAAGAGGAAUACUCAUUGCGAAGGCGACCUGCUAGAACAUAACUGACGCUGAUGCGCGAAAGCGUGGGGAGCAAACAGGAUUAGAUACCCGGGUAGUC
rnacentral:rRNA from 1 species